rnacentral:misc_RNA from 1 species
GAUGAAGAACGUAGCGAAAUGCGAUAAGUAAUGUGAAUUGCAGAAUUCAGUGAAUCAUCGAAUCUUUGAACGCACAUUGCGCCCGCCAGUAUUCUGGCGGGCAUGCCUGUUCGAGCGUCAUUUCAACCAUCAAGCCCCCGGCUUGUGUUGGGGACCUGCGGCUGCCGCAGGCCCUGAAAACCAGUGGCGGGCUCGCUAGUCACUCCGAGCGUAGUAAUACAUCUCGCUCAGGGCGUGCUGCGGGUUCCGGCCGUUAAAAAGCCUUAUUUACCCAAGGUUGACCUCGGAUCAGGUAGGAAGACCCGCUGAACUUAAGCAUUCAAUAAGCGGAGGA